rnacentral:lncRNA from 1 species
GGCAGCUGGGCAGUACGAAACUUAAACAAAGGUUUAGAAAGUACUUUUGAACAUUGAUUAGUAAGAGAAUUAGAGGAUUGGAUGGAACGAUUUUAAGUUUGGUAUCAGAACAGUCCACGUAGACACUUUUCUACCACUUGGAGAAAUUGGCGUUUCCAUAGUUGCUAAGGAGCUUCUUUGAUUUUUUGUUUUUGUUUUGUGUAAAUACUAAGACCAUCAAAAGGUUAUGGUUAGCUUUCUGGAUUCCACAUCGUCCACUCAGCUUUGACUGAGUCAUAGUCCAAUGCGUCCAAGUAAAUUUCAUGUGCAAUGAAUACCAAACUCAAAUUGCUCUUUGUCAAUGACUUCAAAAGAACUUAUGUUAUGGGAUCUGUCGUAUAAAUCUAGGGAGUAGUAACCCACUUCAUUGGUGACGAUGGUCUGGUAACUACAUACGUGCGUAUCUGUAAAGGUACCCUUCUGGAGGGGAAACUUUUACAGAGUCCUAAAACAUGCUCUUUUGCUGCAUCAUGUGUCCUCUUUAAGGAAUCCUCAAAGUACCCAUCACACAAUCAAUCAUGCAAUGUAUCUACCCUAAUCCUAAAGACACCCACUAAGUUAUAACUUGCUGUCAUUAUAACUCUUGAGG